AGAAAAGGAAGAGAAAGAAAGGGAAGAAGACAAGGACAACGCAGAGAGACUGUUCUCAAUCAUCUAACAGUGUUCUCAUCUCAGGUUAGAUCAAAUCUACAAUAGGCUCUUGCUGUGAUUACUUGGGAGUUUUAGAUAUUAUGGGUAGUUAUUGUGGGCAGUGACGUGAUCCUUAUAUCCCAGUUAUUCUCUUGUGGUUGUUACUAGGGUUUUGGGCAAGAGAUUGAGAUUUGUACAUUCAUUAUUCUCAUAGUGGAUUAUCUCUAGUUUGCCCCGUGGUUUUUACCCUUCACAUUGAAGGGGUUUUCCACGUAUAUCUUGGUGUUCUGUUUGAUUGUGUUUCCAUUUUAUUCCGCUGCGUAUUUUGGUCUUCUAGUAUUUGUUCCUAUACAAAGGUUAUUCCUGUUUAUAUCCCCAUCAACUGGUAUCAGAGCGGGGGUUUUGGUGAUUUAAUUUUUGUAUUUGAAUAUGAAGGCCAGUAAUAUUUCUCGCAUGAUUAGUUUGAAUGGAAAUAAUUGGAUGAUAUGGAAACCAAGAAUGGAAGAUCUCUUGUAUUGCAAAGAUUUGUAUGGACCUUUGUAGGGGGAUAAUGCAAAACCUACAAUUAUGACAGAUGAUGAGUGGAAGAGGUUAGAUCGAAAAACAAUUGGGUUUAUUAGACAAUGGCUUGAUGAUAGUGUCUUUCACCAUGUUUCUACUGAAAUUUCUGCAUAUUCUCUUUGGAAAAAAUUGGAAAGUCUCUAUGAAAGAAAAACAGCUGGCAACAAAGCCUUUUUUAUCAGAAAACUUGUGNNNNNNNNNNNNNNNNNNNNGGGAUCCAACAUGAGAUGACAGUUUCUGGUACACCUCAGCAUAAUGCAAUUGCAGAGAGGACGAACCGCACCAUCAUGGAAAAGAUCAGAUGUAUGCUUUCACAGGCCAAGCUACCCAAAAGGUUUUGGGAUGAGGCUUUGAGGACUGCAGUUGAUGUGAUCAACUUAUCAUCAUGUACAUCCCUAGAUGGUGAUGUUGUAGAGAAUGUGUGGUCAGGGAAAGAUGUUUCCUACAGGCAUUUGAGAGUGUUUGGUUGUCGUGCAUUUGCACAUGUUCCAGAUAAUGAGAGGUCCAAGCUGGAUGGUAAGUCUAAAGAAUGUAUUUUUCUUAGUUACUCACAUGAUCAGUUUGGUUACAGGCUUUGGGAUCCAGAAAAGCAGAAGGUGUUCAGGAGCAGAGAUGUGGUCUUCUUUGAGGAUGAAACCUUUGAAGAUUUAAAGAAGAAGACACCAGCCAAGACUUCUGCAGAAGGAUUAGCAGAUUGUGACCCAGUUAUUCCUCCAGUAUAUCAGGGUGAUGGGGGAGAUGUGCAGGAAAAUAGUGUAGAGCCUGAUGUUGAUUUACGUGCAGGACAUGUUGAGCAAGAAGAAGUAGGAGAGCAAGUUCCCGCAGAACCUCAGUUUAGAAGAUCUUCUAGAUAACGUCAACCUUCCAGAAGAUAUUCUACAGAUGAGUAUGUGAUGCUUACUGAUGUAGGUGAACCAGAGAGUUACCAGGAAGCAGUUGAGAGUGAGCAGAAAGAGAAGUGGUUAGUUGCUAUGCAGGAAGAGAUGGAUACUCUUCAGAAGAAGCCACACUUAUGAUUUGGUGCUGCUACCAAAUGGAAUGAAGGCCUUGAAGAACAAGUGGGUUUUUAGGUUGAAGACUCAAGAAUAUUGUUCUCAACCAAAGUACAAAGCUAGAUUGGUUGUGAAAGGCUUUGGUCAAAAGAAAGGUAUUGACUUUGAAGAGAUAUUUUCUCCUGUUGUUAAAAUGUCUUCUAUUCGUGUUGCUCUUGGUAUUGCUGCUAGCCAGGACUUGGAGGUUGAGUAGUUAGAUGUGAAGACAACUUUCCUUCUUGGUGAUUUGGAGGAGGAAAUUUAUAUGGAGCAACCAGAAGGCUUCUAAGUCAAAGGUAAAGAUAAUUUUGUCUGCAAGUUGAAGAAGAGCUUGUAUGGGCUAAAGCAAGCUCCAAGACAGUGGUAUAGAAAGUUUGAUUCAUUUAUGACAGAAAAUGGAUACAAAAGAACGGCUUCAGAUCAUUGUGUGUACAUCAAAUGGUUUGGUGAGGAUUUUGUUAUUCUCUUACUUUAUGUUGAUGACAUGCUUAUUCUUGGGAAAGAUAUGUCUAAAAUUGACAGGUUGAAGAAGGAACUGAGUGAGUCUUUUGCAAUGAAGGACAUGGGGCUAGCAAAGCAAAUACUAGGUAUGCAGAUUUCUCGUGACAGGAAAAACAAGAAGAUUUGGUUGUCACAGGAGAAAUACAUCGAGAAGGUAUUGGAAAGAUUUAGUAUGAGCAAUGCUAAGCUAGUUGGUUCUCCUCUUGCAGGUCACUUCAAGUUGUGCUCAGAACAGAGUCCGUCAAGUGAUGAGGAGAAGGAGAAAAUGCAAAAGGUUCCUUAUGCUUCAGCAGUUGGAAGUUUAAUGUUUGCAAUGGUAUGUACGAGGCCAGACAUCGCAUAUGCAAUGGGUGUUACUAGCAGAUUUCUUGCAAAUCCAGGCAAAGAGCACUGGGCAGCAGUGAAGUAGAUUUUUAGAUAUCUCAAAGAGAGCUCUAAGGUUUGUUUAAGCUUUGGAGGUGGACCACCUGUGUUAACAGGUUACACAGAUGCAGAUAUGGCAAGAGAUAUAAAUACGAGGAAGUCUACUUCAGGUUAUGUACUUACUUUUGCAGGGGGAGCUGUGUCAUGGCAAUCCAGGUUGCAAAGGUGUAUUGCUCUCUCUACCACAGAAGCAGAAUAUAUUACUGCUACAGAGGUAUGCAAAGAAAUGUUAUGGAUGAAAGAAUUCUUACAAGAAUUGGGGCUGAAACAGGAAAAUUAUGUGGUGCAUUGUGACAGCCAAAGUGCCAUCCAUUUGUGUAAGAACCUAAUGUUUCAUUCCAAGUCAAAGCAUAUAGAUGUCAGAUACCACUGGAUUCGAAAUGUAUUUGAAGAGAAGCAGUUGCAGCUUCAGAAAAUUCAUACAGAUGACAAUGGAGCAGACAUGUUGACGAAGACCUUACCAAAAGAAAGACAGGAGAUAUGCCGACAGCUGGUCGGCAUAGCUUCACAUUGAGGAGUCAUGGGACAGCCUCCCUUAUGGGCUGAAGGGGGAGGUUGUUGGGCUGAUGGCCCAUAUUCAGCCCAUGUGGGCUUUAUCAGCCCACAGCCCACACCCCCUCUUAACCUAACCCUAAUUAAGAUUAAGGAGGUGUGGUAGCUGCGUUUUAGAGGCAAAUUAAAGCUAUAAAAAGGCAGCAACGAGGCAGAUCUUGGUAGCCACGAGAUUCUAAAGAGAAGAAGGAGAACAAGGCAGAAAAGGAAGAGAAAGAAAGGGAAGAAGACAAGGACAACGCAGAGAGACUGUUCUCAAUCAUCUAACAAUGUUCUCAUCUCAGGUUAGAUCAAAUCUACAGUAGGCUCUUGCUGUGAUUACUUGGGAGUUUUAGAUAUUGUGGGCAGUUAUUGUGGGCAGUGACGUGAUCCUUGUAUCCCAGUUAUUCUCUUAUGGUUGUUACUAGGGUUUUGGGCAAGAGAUUGAGAUUUGUACAUUCAUUAUUCUCAUAGUGGAUUAUCUCUAGUUUGCCCCGUUGUUUUUAUCCUUCACAUUGAAGGGGUUUUCCACGUAUAUCUUGGUGUUCUGUUUGAUUGUGUUUCCAUUUUAUUCCGCUGCGUAUUUUGGUCUUCUAGUAUUUGUUCCUAUACAAAGGUUAUUCCUAUUUAUAUCCCCAUC
rnacentral:lncRNA from 1 species